GGGGUUGUGGCUCAUUGGUAGAGCACUCACUUCACACUUGUGAGACCCUGGGUUUGAUCCUCAGCACCA
rnacentral:tRNA from 1 species